rnacentral:rRNA from 1 species
GCAAGUCGAGCGCUCUCCUUUCGGGGAGGGAGCGGCGGACGGGUUAGUAACGCGUGGGAACGUACCCUUUUCUACGGAAUAGCCAUUGGAAACGAUGAGUAAUACCGUAUACGCCCUACGGGGGAAAGAUUUAUCGGUAAAGGAUUGGCCCGCGUUAGAUUAGAUAGUUGGUGGGGUAACGGCCUACCAAGUCUACGAUCUAUAGCUGGUUUGAGAGGAUGAUC